GUUGGUAUGGUCCAAUUACUGAAGGCAGCUGUGUUCGGCCCAGACAGGAAGUAGAAGAACGGAAGCAGCAGGUGUACUGAGGUGGAAGACAUCGCCAGAAAACAAACUAAGCAGCAAACGGCCAAGAAGAAUGAAGGGCUGAGGAGGAAACAUGAAAAGAAACCGAGGGAAGAUGAGGAAACUGAGGACACCAGACACUGAGGCGAGCAGCAGUCUCCUGCCACGUGAUGAGGAAACAGAAUACGUAAAACACAAGGACGGCGUGUGUCAUCACUGGAGCAGCGAGAGGACUCAAAGUGCUGAAACAAGACGACGACGGGGAGGGGGAGAAGGAGACUGCUGAUUCACAGAGAGAGUGUUGCAGUCCAAGAGCACAACAGGGCACUCAAAUAUUUUUUAGAAUAAAAGGAAAGUCCUUUCCAAGGAGAUUACUUCUUUUAUGGACACACUUGUCCCAUUUUAACACAUGAUCAUUUAUUGCCUUUUCUUUCUUUAUCCAUCUGCAAUGACAGUCACAGGUUCAAAAUUUAAAAAACGUCAUACUCACACAGGUCCCAGACCUGACCUGACAAAGAUGCCCACACUUUCGGAUUGGUCAAAACGGUUCAGUGUCAUGCUAAUCAUAGCUGACAACAAGAUUUUAUUGCAUCUCUGUGUGUUGUUGUU